UUAGGAAUCUUGCGCAAUGGGCGAAAGCCUGACGCAGCGACGCCGCGUGAGCGAUGAAGUCUUUCGGGAUGUAAAGCUCUGUCCUGCGGGGAAGAAGAAUGUGACGGUACCCGCAGAGAAAGCCCCGGCUAACUACGUGCCAGCAGCCGCGGUAAUACGUAGGGGGCGAGCGUUGUCCGAAUUUACUGGGCGUAAAGCGCGUGUAGGCGGUUCCUUAAGUCAGGUGUGAAAUCCUGGGGCUCAACCCCAGAACUGCAUCUGAAACUGGGGGGCUUGAGUUUGGGAGAGGAGAGUGGAAUUCCUGGUGUAGCGGUGAAAUGCGUAGAUAUCAGGAGGAACACCCGUGGCGAAGGCGGCUCUCUGGCCCAACACUGACGCUGAGACGCGAAAGCUAGGGGAGCGAACGGGGAUUAGAUACCCCGGUAGUCCUAGCCGUAAACGAUGAACACUAGGUGUUAGUGGUAUCGACCCCACUAGUGCCGUAGCUAACGCAUUAAGUGUUCCGCCU
rnacentral:rRNA from 1 species